rnacentral:lncRNA from 1 species
AUUCUUACUAACAACCCUUACUUUUAUGUAUUUAACCUUCUUGUGAUUUAAUUACAUAUGUUUUAUUUUAAUUAAGUAUUUUAUGUAUUUUAGGGGCAUUAUAGUCAUUUCACAAUAAAAGAGAGAUCAGACGGCAAAACGGACAUCACUUUUGAACUCAGGACAGUCGAAAACCUUAGGAGGAGCAUAAAAGGAAAAAUGACACUAUUCACAUGUACGGUACUAUUCACGUGUACGGUACUGUCUACGUUACUGUUCACGACACUGUUCACAUAGACGGAUCGAUGACGUGGCAUUGACCGAUGAUGUGGCAUUGACUGAUGAGGUGUCACGAUCCUGUUGGGCUAAAAUUCUUAUGUACUGUUGAUGGUGACGUGGCAGCAUAUCAGUGGACGAAAAAUCUCGCGUACGGUGCAUGCAUCACACAGGAUUAUUUUCAACCAAACCGCGUUACUGUUCAUCCAGGUCAAACCGCGUUACUGUUCAUCUGCGUGGUCAAACCGUGGACUGUUGACUGAUGACGUUGCGCAAUCCUGAGCGUCCAAACUGUUUUUAAUCCGAU